rnacentral:lncRNA from 1 species
UUGUAAUAUUAGCAACCCUUAGCUAUGUGAUAAAACUUAGAAAAAUUUAAGAUCGAUAUAUGAUUCAUUUCUUCCAUUAUAUCGGAGUUCAGCUGUUCUAAUACAGAUGUUAUCUCAAGUACUAUAUAGUGAGAAAUACUUUUUAAGAUAUUUAUCACUAAUCAACCGACGAGAUAAUGGCAAUCGUUCUCUUAGCAACAUUGUAUUCGAUUGAAUUUUAACACUUCAGUCGAUAAAAAUCUUCACUCGCGUCUACUAUUCCGUUCAUUUAGUUAAAAUCACAUACUUGUAGGUUGCCGAUGGAUAUCUAUCCAGAAUAGCGCCUUCGAAGAUUUCAUAGAUACGACCGUCCCGUAUCGUUUGCACAGUUGUAUUUUUCACCAGGGACGUGAAAUAUUUCAUAUAUCUAUAUAAGUAGUCACCAUAAAAGUUUUGUGUCUCUUUGAGCAUUACCCACUUCAUCGCCUCAAAGUGAUCAGCUUGUCGAGUAAAUAUAUUGCUCUCUCGAAUGAAGGAACCUAUACCACGUGAACGACGCAAACAACUCUGAUGCCAUACUUCUUCAACUCCACCCUAAGGGCAAUGGCCCAGGCGCUAAUAGCAGCCUUGGUUCCACUAUAAACUGAAGCUCCUGGAAUUGGCUGCGUCUUACAGUGGCUCGAGACUACAAUAAUCCGACUAUAAUGGGCGCGGAUAAUCGGCAUCAAUUCUUGUGUGACUACCAGAGCACCGAGAAAGUUAACUUCCAACUGAUUCUUAAGCUGCCCAUACGUUUGCCAUUCGAAUUCGC